CUUACAUUGAUCGCCCAGACCACCUAUCAAGUUUCAUUUACCAGUUAUUCCAACAUCUCCUGGCCUCCGUAAUCUUGGUGUACGGUUUGCUAUUCUUUGACCAAUUCUCUACUGUACCCUGACUGUCUAUUAAAGUGCAAUAUGUAAGCUAGUGAACUGACCAAUGAACGAAUCGAUAAAUUGUUAAUUUCAAGCCAAAUAAUUAGAUGGAAAAGCAGCCAAGUAGGAGAAUUGCUUAAAAUUUCUUGAAUUAGUUGAUAACCCUGUUUGGGACUUUCAACCAUAUGUAAUGAGGCUGCUUAGUGAGGAAGACCCAUAGAGUAAUAAUUACUACAAAAUGCAAAAAGUGCUACCAAGACGAUUAACCAGUUUCCUUUCUUUAUAUAAAUUAAUACUCGGGAGGCAUGACAGAAACUAGCUAACACAGGGGUAUUGUUCUAUAGUGACAGAGCCGUCCCAACGGUUGGCUGACAAAUACCAUUACGCAUCUAUACACCGACAUGUAACCGCCACUGCUACUGCUAUGAGAAUUCCUGGGGUGGUCUCAGCCGUAGACUUCCUCUCUGCUCCCCGGGCAGACUAACAUCAGCAGAUGACAUACCUUCUUUUUAUCUUUUAUUUUUGGCUCCCUAACAUCCAACAGGUAGUCGAUGGCAGCGAAAGUAACCUAUGCACACCUCCAAAUGGCUCUAUAAUAUCCGUUGUCUUUUAUAUUUGAAUCUGGCAUCUCAUACAUCAUUGAUCCUCGACUGUAAUCAUUUCGGGACCUGCAUGUCCCAUUCUGUUACCUGUACCUUAUUUG